UACGUAGGGAGCAAGCGUUAUCCGGAAUCACUGGGUGUAAAGGGUGAGUAGGCGGUUGCAUAAGUCAUGUGUGAAAGCCCCGUGCUCAACAUGGGGACUGCACAAGAAACUGUGCAACUAGAGUACAGGAGAGGUAAGUGGAAUUCCUAGUGUAGCGGUGAAAUGCGUAGAUAUUAGGAGGAACACCAGUGGCGAAGGCGACUUACUGGACUGAAACUGACGCUGAGUCACGAAAGCGUGGGGAGCAAACAGG
rnacentral:rRNA from 1 species